rnacentral:rRNA from 1 species
GGGCGUUAAGUUGCAGGGUAUAGACCCGAAACCCGGUGAUCUAGCCAUGGGCAGGUUGAAGGUUGGGUAACACUAACUGGAGGACCGAACCGACUAAUGUUGAAAAAUUAGCGGAUGACCUGUGGCUGGGGGUGAAAGGCCAAUCAAACCGGGAGAUAGCUGGUUCUCCCCGAAAGCUAUUUAGGUAGCGCCUCGUGAAUUCAUCUCCGGGGGUAGAGCACUGUUUCGGCUAGGGGGCCAUCCCGGCUUACCAACCCGAUGCAAACUGCGAAUACCGGAGAAUGUUAUCACGGGAGACACACGGCGGGUGCUAACGUCCGUCGUGAAGAGGGAAACAACCCAGACCGCCAGCUAAGGUCCCAAAGUCAUGGUUAAGUGGGAAACGAUGUGGGAAGGCCCAGACAGCCAGGAUGUUGGCUUAGAAGCAGCCAUCAUUUAAAGAAAGCGUAAUAGCUCACUGGUCGAGUCGGCCUGCGCGGAAGAUGUAACGGGGCUAAACCAUGCACCGAAGCUGCGGCAGCGAACGUAUCACCCAAGACAACUUUACGGAGUUGACGAUUGACGGAGCGAAGCGACGUCAAAGCGUUCAUUAAAGUCGAGUUGGCUUAGGGAUACGUUCGUUGGGUAGGGGAGCGUUCUGUAAGCCUGUGAAGGUGUGUCGUGAGGCAUGCUGGAGGUAUCAGAAGUGCGAAUGCUGACAUAAGUAACGAUAAAGCGGGUGAAAAGCCCGCUCGCCGGAAGACCAAGGGUUCCUGUCCAACGUUAAUCGGGGCAGGGUGAGUCGACCCCUAAGGCGAGGCCGAAAGGCGUAGUCGAUGGGAAACGGGUUAAUAUUCCCGUACUUGGUGUUACUGCGAAGGGGGGACGGAGAAGGCUAUGUUGGCCGGGCGACGGUUGUCCCGGUUUAAGCGUGUAGGUGUGUGUUCCAGGUAAAUCCGGUUCACUUUAACACUGAGGCGUGACGACGAGGCACUACGGUGCUGAAGCAACAAAUGCCCUGCUUCCAGGAAAAGCCUCUAAGCAUCAGGUAACACGAAAUCGUACCCCAAACCGACACAGGUGGUCAGGUAGAGAAUACCAAGGCGCUUGAGAGAACUCGGGUGAAGGAACUAGGCAAAAUGGUGCCGUAACUUCGGGAGAAGGCACGCUGACACGUAGGUGAAGUGAUUUACUCAUGGAGCUGAAGUCAGUCGAAGAUACCAGCUGGCUGCAACUGUUUAUUAAAAACACAGCACUGUGCAAACACGAAAGUGGACGUAUACGGUGUGACGCCUGCCCGGUGCCGGAAGGUUAAUUGAUGGGGUCAGCGUAAGCGAAGCUCCUGAUCGAAGCCCCGGUAAACGGCGGCCGUAACUAUAACGGUCCUAAGGUAGCGAAAUUCCUUGUCGGGUAAGUUCCGACCUGCACGAAUGGCGUAAUGAUGGCCAGGCUGUCUCCACCCGAGACUCAGUGAAAUUGAACUCGCUGUGAAGAUGCAGUGUACCCGCGGCAAGACGGAAAGACCCCGUGAACCUUUACUAUAGCUUGACACUGAACAUUGAGCCUUGAUGUGUAGGAUAGGUGGGAGGCUUUGAAGUGUGGACGCCAGUCUGCAUGGAGCCGACCUUGAAAUACCACCCUUUAAUGUUUGAUGUUCUAACGUGGACCCGUAAUCCGGGUUGCGGACAGUGUCUGGUGGGUAGUUUGACUGGGGCGGUCUCCUCCUAAAGAGUAACGGAGGAGCACGAAGGUUGGCUAAUCCUGGUCGGACAUCAGGAGGUUAGUGCAAUGGCAUAAGCCAGCUUGACUGCGAGCGUGACGGCGCGAGCAGGUGCGAAAGCAGGUCAUAGUGAUCCGGUGGUUCUGAAUGGAAGGGCCAUCGCUCAACGGAUAAAAGGUACUCCGGGGAUAACAGGCUGAUACCGCCCAAGAGUUCAUAUCGACGGCGGUGUUUGGCACCUCGAUGUCGGCUCAUCACAUCCUGGGGCUGAAGUAGGUCCCAAGGGUAUGGCUGUUCGCCAUUUAAAGUGGUACGCGAGCUGGGUUUAGAACGUCGUGAGACAGUUCGGUCCCUAUCUGCCGUGGGCGCUGGAGAACUGAGGGGGGCUGCUCCUAGUACGAGAGGACCGGAGUGGACGCAUCACUGGUGUUCGGGUUGUCAUGCCAAUGGCACUGCCCGGUAGCUAAAUGCGGAAGAGAUAAGUGCUGAAAGCAUCUAAGCACGAAACUUGCCCCGAGAUGAGUUCUCCCUGAGACUUAGAGUCUCCUGAAGGAACGUUGAAGACGACGACGUUGAUAGGCCGGGUGUGUAAGCGCAGCGAUGCGUUGAGCUAACCGGUACUAAUGAACCGUGAGGCUUAACCUU